UCUUUAAUGAAAAAUAUGGUAUUGGCCACAGAGACAAUGGUCUAGGUUCAUGUAUUUUUGUGAAUUGAAUUGGGUUCUUGCCCUUCAAUACUGCUGCUCUCUUUACCCGAGCUAAUUAUCUUCAGUCUACUGAUUGUUUAUCUGCAAGUUAGUAGAACAUCAUCCUCAGAACUCAAGAAAUCCUUUGACUCUUGAGUUUUACUUUUAGCUUCCCUUGGAAUGGUCAAAAUUCACGUGUUAUAUAGACUUUAUGUUUUACUACAGCGGCUUCUAUAUGAUGUCAACUCCAGAGGCGAAGGCUUAUGAAUCUCGUACUUUUUGGAAGGAAUGUGAAUCUCAUAUUAAUUCAUUAAUUAUUAUUAUUCAACUACACUAUUUAUACUUCUUUAUGCAAAGGUAAUGAUCUAAUAUGGGAGGACUCUUGGAGGACGGGACAGAUACUUGUCCUUAUUUAGUCAGUUUGUCAGAUUACAGGGUUAUAAAUAGAGAGGAACUUGGACAUAUGAGGAGGCUAAUGUUUGGACAGAAUAUUCGAUAGAAAAGGCUUGGUUGAAAAGUUAUCUAUCACUUUACUAAAUCUGCUACUAAUUUUCUGCUUGAUAAAUUGGGCUCCUAUACCAACAAUUUCAAACUUCAAGCUUCGGAACAAGAUCGAAGUUUGAGGGGCCAUAAUAGACCAUCCAUACAUGAGGAAGAAGAAUAGCUUAUAGCUCUACACAAGAUGAUGGUGGGGUAAUUGUCUAAUAAACUCUGUGCACUUGAGUCUACGGCGGAGGACAGUUCAGUAAUUAGGUGUAGGAUUUUCUUUUUUGUUUUAAAUUCUAUUUUUUCUCAUCACACCCAAGCACUGCAAUUUUAUUAAGUGAAGAGAAGGAGGUGGGGGAGUUUGCAGAAUUUUGGAACUAUUCUGCUUGGGGAAAACUUGAGUGUCCCAAAUUCUCUAAGGAGUUAGUUAAUUUCCUAGAGGUUGUAAUCUGAUCCUAGCAUGUUAGAAGUCAUGAGGUACUAAUUCUCUUUUCUGAUAUCAUCUUCCUGUAUUUGAGUACUCAUUAAGCGGACGUGAAUAUGGUGCUGAUUUCUCAGGAGCCCAUGUUUGGUUUUAUGGAUGAGAAGCCUUACACAUCUUGGCAGUGCUUUUCCUCACCAUAUCUGAAGUAGAGUGAAUCUCCCCGGUGAUAUUGGCCACAGUAGGAUACUAAGGAUGUAUCCUUUGCCGCUGCUACUUCUAGGUUUAAACCCUUUUGGCUUGGUGAUGCCUUUGACUGGAAGAAGAGGUUGGUUGGGACUCUCUUCUGGCAGGAAGAUCCAUGCUCCUUACAAGAUUGAUGCUUGAUCAGAGUACUUAUGGUCAUGGGUGGGGUAGAUUGGAGAGCAGCUGCAUAAGAUAUUUGGUAUUGCUUGGUUAGUGGCCCUUUAAUCUUAUCACAGGGUCCUUAUAGUUCUCUUCAUUGACUUCCACUAAUGAUGCGUCUUUCUCUAUAGUGUGAAAAUUGUGCAUUGUACUAUCUGAUCAUCUUGCACAUAAUUAAUUCGAAAUGUGUGAUCCAUCAUCUCCCGUGAACUGGAUUAUUUGUCUGCUCAUGAAGAAUGUGUGGGUUGAUGUGGUGGGUAGUACACGGUUCUUAUUUAGAUUCCAAGUGAGAACGUGAAUAGGAAACCCACUUGCUUGCAUGUCUUGUGAGAUUAGUGUUUAUGUUUUUGGCUUCUAUCUGUUGCUACUGGCUGAGAAUAUGCAAUGGGGUUGCACACCCUCACUUGAUUAAGGAUUUGGCAUGUACCAAUUUUUUGCUGUAAUGGCUUGGGAAUUAAAUAUCAUUGUGGGUAGCUGUCGUUUUGGGGCUAGAGUGCUUCCACUAGGUUUAAUGAGGAUUUGUCUUCAAUGGAGCCAUUGUUUGUUAAGAAUUAGGCCAGUGGGGAACAUCCUGUUCCAAUUUCAGCUAAGCAUUUUGAUGUGUAGCAUGACUGUUGCAUAUCUCAAGAUGGAGCAAGACAACCAAGUUGCUGGCCUCGAUUAUCAAUUUACUUUGUCAUUGAUGAACGGUCUACAGUGAGACUAUCCUGUAUUACCAAAAUUACGACCUGUAAAAGUUUCCUCUGUAUGAGUUUCAGCUGGGAGUCUAGUGGAACUUGAACAACCCAACCGAUAACAUAGAAGUUUCCUCAAUCUCUCCAGAUGUCCGCUCUGAGCUUUCCUGAUUUAUAUGUUUCCCUGCAUCGGUUUUUGAGGUUGUGUACAUAUGAUGAAGGAUUAAGGACCCGACACCAAUUUGAGACUUAGAAUCCUACUUUUUGUCUGUUCUUAACAUAUCUAAAGUUGAGCGCCUGCCUUUUGUUUGUUUGUCAUGAAGGAAGUUGGUACCCACCUCAAUUAGUCAUCAAUCCAUGUUGAAACUUGCUUAUGACAGUUUUUCCUGUCUACUCUAUAGUUGGCCUAGAUGCUCUUAAAUCUCCCAUGCUCCCAGCCUCAUAAUUAAAGUAGAACUUUGUCAAGAAAGGCAUUGCUUGCAAACAUUUGUAUGGCUUGAUAUGAUCAUACAGGCAUGUCUAUAACUUCUAUCUAUCAACACCAGCAUUUUGUUUUGAUUACAGUCACUAAUGUGUUUGACAUUUUUGCUUCACUGAUAAUGUGUCUGGCCACCCUGUUUAUGUGUGAGGAGUUUCUCUUUUCUUCUAUAACUUAUUCAAUAUUUGGUUCUAUUAUCAAGAUAAUUAGGAACUUCAAUAGCAUACGAUUGCAUGCAGAUUUUAACUAAUGGAAAGUGCAAGAGUGCGGAGCAUAGAGUGACUACAAACUCUAGCAGGGCAAGACUCUCGAUCUCUGCUUUUCAUGAUCCACCGAAGUCAGUAAAAAUAUCUCCGGCUGCAGAGCUUGUCAGUGAGUCUUCCCCCCUUAGAUACCGCGAAGUUAUUUUUGGAGAUUAUACAUCAUCAUGGUACUCAAACGGCCCUCAAGGAAGAAGAAAUCUGGAUGCAAUCAAGCUUCAUAACUAAAGCUUUACAACUAGCUUCUUCAAGUUCUCCUAAACAAGGUUUGAAUUGAAGAUCAGUUGACAAGGGAGAGAAGAAUAAGAUUCUUUGCAUCUUCCUCAACUCAAGAUUCUUACCAAUCCAUAUCCAUAUGGUACAAUCUCAAAUCAAAUGAAACAUUGAUUACAUAUGAACUUGUUCGAUAUCGAUGGUUGCGUGUAGAAGAAUGGUUCUCAACUACUCGAAAAAGAAUGAUACAUUUCAUUUGAAUUCUUGAAAGGUCUGGACUUUGAAGACUCUAGAUCAACUUCAUCACCACAGUAGACGGAUUACGAAACACAUUUCAGUUAUAUUUUGAAAAUGACAUGUCAUUUUGAUUUCUAUGCUUUCGAUAA